ACGGAGUCCGGGACUGUUGCUGAAUCUGCAACAACUUCUGUGUGUUGGAGCUCCGGGGCUGGUGUGGGGGAGGUGCUUGAGACCGUGAAUGCACACGGUUGUGGAUCUUUCACACAAUGAGGCUAUGGUCCUUCUGGUGCAGUGUCCUGGGCACAGUGGAUUACACAACAAAGAGUGGAAUUCUGGGGUCCUGUGUUAUGCCUAUCCAAGCCUUUCUGAGGUUUGACAUCUUCACAAAUCCAACUAGAAUGACCUGGGACGGCUGGAUUCCAUUUAGCAGGGGGACCCCAUGACUCUGUGAGGAGACCUGGCCUGCACUUCCUUCUCUCUUGGGAGAUUUUUAUGCUUCAGACUCUCCAGAACCCCAAGACAAGGGUUGGCAAAUAAGGGCCUGCGGAGGUGGGGGUUGGGAGGGGACAGUCCUGCUCCAGGUGAAGGACUUGGGCCCAAGCUUGGGGAGACCCAGUGGAAAAGGAAAGAAUCCCUAGAAUCAGGGCAUGAGAGGAGGAAUGAGUGGCUAUUCAUGUGGGAAGAAGGGAGGCUGGAGGAUGAGAGAUGAGGGCGGGGUGUGUGUGUGCAGAUUCUGGUAAGGGAGUGUCCCAGAGAGAGAGGGGCUGCCAUUCUGGGGCCAGGGAAUAGAAUCUCCUUGGUAUUCAGCUCUCCAUCCUCCCCCUCCUUCUCCUCCUGCUCCUCCCCCUCCUCUGUCCCUCUCAUUCCUCCCAUAUCCU